AUUGAACGCUGGCGGCAUGCUUUACACAUGCAAGUCGAACGGUAACAGGCCUUCGGGCGCUGACGAGUGGCGAACGGGUGAGUAAUGCAUCGGGACGUGCCCAGUCGUGGGGGAUAACGCAGCGAAAGCUGUGCUAAUACCGCAUACGAUCUGCGGAUGAAAGCGGGGGACCUUCGGGCCUCGCGCGAUUGGAGCGGCCGAUGUCAGAUUAGGUAGUGGGUGGGGUAAAGGCUCACCAAGCCAACGAUCUGUAGCUGGUCUGAGAGGACGACCAGCCACACUGGGACUGAGACACGGCCCAGACUCCUACGGGAGGCAGCAGUGGGGAAUUUUGGACAAUGGGCGCAAGCCUGAUCCAGCAAUGCCGCGUGCAGGAAGAAGGCCUUCGGGUUGUAAACUGCUUUUGUACGGAGCGAAAAGGCUCCCUCUAAUACAGGGGGCUCAUGACGGUACCGUAAGAAUAAGCACCGGCUAACUACGUGCCAGCAGCCGCCGUAAUAC
rnacentral:rRNA from 1 species